CAGGACGAACGCUGGCGGCGUGCCUAAUACAUGCAAGUCGAACGAAUCUAGAAGUUAGCUUGCUAACUUCUAGGUUAGUGGCGGACGGGUGAGUAACACGUAGGCAACCUGCCCCUAAGAUCGGGAUAACAUUCGGAAACGAAUGCUAAGACCGGAUAAACAAUUUGGUCGCAUGGCUAGAUUGGGAAACACGGCGCAAGCUGUGGCUUAGGGAUGGGCCUGCGGCGCAUUAGCUAGUUGGUGGGGUAACGGCUCACCAAGGCGACGAUGCGUAGCCGACCUGAGAGGGUGAACGGCCACACUGGGACUGAGACACGGCCCAGACUCCUACGGGAGGCAGCAGUAGGGAAUCUUCCACAAUGGGCGAAAGCCUGAUGGAGCAACGCCGCGUGAGUGAGGAAGGCUUUCGGGUCGUAAAGCUCUGUUGCCAGGGAAGAAUAAGGGUGAGAGUAACUGCUCAUCCGAUGACGGUACCUGAGAAGAAAGCCCCGGCUAACUACGUGCCAGCAGCCGCGGUAAUACGUAGGGGGCAAGCGUUGUCCGGAAUUAUUGGGCGUAAAGCGCGCGCAGGCGGUUCUUUAAGUCUGGUGUCUAAGUGCGGGGCUCAACCCCGUGAUGCACUGGAAACUGGGGAACUUGAGUGCAGAAGAGGAGAGCGGAAUUCCACGUGUAGCGGUGAAAUGCGUAGAGAUGUGGAGGAACACCAGUGGCGAAGGCGGCUCUCUGGACUGUAACUGAC
rnacentral:rRNA from 1 species